GUCGAUAUGGUGACGCUUUUUAGUGCUAUGCGUGUCAACCAAUGAAUUCAUGAACUGGUUGCAUUCUUGGACUUAACAACAUCUAUGUACAUGCCAAUCGGUUUCUCUAUGCAUUACUUUCAUAAUGGAACUAAUAAGUGAUCAUCACAUCUUAAACUCAUUGAGGUUUUCUAAUUAGAUGAUGAAUUGUUGAUUAUUGUUAUUAAUAUAUGAAUUGGCUUAUGGAUGUGCAGGAUGAUAGGAAAAUUGUUGUGAAGAAGCUUUCAGAGACAUCAAAAUAAGGGAAUAGAGAAUUUACAAACUGCAGGCUGAGGCGGCGUCUUCGUCUUCCACCGAAAUGGCAGUGGUGAAGGAAUCUGGUGGAUGUGAGUCGUAAGAACAAAGAACAGGAGGUUUGAUGAGGAGGUUCGAUCAUCCGAUCCAUAUGCCAAGGGCUGGACCAAGACUGUUUGAAUGUGUGAAAAAAACUUGGCAUGGUGAUAAACACAAGCCACUUAGAGAGUCCAUUAUUUAGAAGUUUUUUAGAGUUCCCAUAGUCUUGGUACUAAGAAGAAUAUAGAAUGGCAAGAUAAGUUGGCUGUUGUAUAUUGAAGUUGCGACAAAGCUGCUCGAGGACAAUGUUGGGGCGCAAGUAAUGAAGUUGGCUGUUGUAUAUUGAGGUUGCGACAAAGCUGCUCGAGGACAAUGUUGCAGCGCCGGAAGACCCAUUGUUUUCAUGUUAAGAAAGACUUUCUUGUGAAUUGACACAUGUAGAGGUUGACUCUAAAGAGUAUUAAAUGGUUGCGUUCUAUGCUAUGGAAGUAUAAUCAAUUCGGUCAUAACUUGCAAAUCUAUAGGAACGAGAAGCUCACCUGAAAGCUCGCCGAAACUAAGGGACAUGCCUAAUGAGUCACUGGAAGAGGAGGUCCGGGCGUAAUGUCCGACAAAUCGGGAGAAACUGAGUACCAAGAAUCUAUGCAAAGCCAAAUUAACAUUAUUAAGGGAAUAAAGAGAUCAAAGUUUGAAGGAAUCAAGUAGAAUCUUGGACAAACAAAAAUUGGCAGACCAACUCUCUAUGGGUUGGCCGCAAAGGGAGAGUAUGGAGUUAGAAGAAAUGUUGAAGGAUGAAAUUGAGCUCAUAAUGGCUUUUUCAUGUUGCCCCACCCUCAAUGAUAUAUGGAUGUCACUUUGUUUAUGAUUUAUGAAGUGAAGGAUAUCAAAUUUUAGGUGUUUGCCUUGCAUCUAUAACAUUGGAUGUGGCAAGGCGUGCUACACCAGUCGGACUGAGCUCAUGUUAAUUAUAGUAAAUUAUAAAUGUAACAUUAUUUGUCUUUUUCUUGAUAUUUUGUACACGGUUUAUAAAGAAAACUUCAUACCUAAUACCUAAU
rnacentral:lncRNA from 1 species